UACGUAGGGGGCAAGCGUUGUCCGGAAUUAUUGGGCGUAAAGAGCGUGUAGGCGGUCCGGUAAGUCAGCUGUGAAAGUCAAGGGCUCAACCCUUGAAAGCCGGUUGAUACUGUCGGGCUAGAGUCCGGAAGAGGCGAGUGGAAUUCCCGGUGUAGCGGUGAAAUGCGUAGAUAUCGGAAGGAACACCAGUGGCGAAAGCGGCUUCCUGGUCCAGCACCGACGUUCAGGCACGAAAGCGUGGGGAGCAAACAGG
rnacentral:rRNA from 1 species